GAGAAAGUUAUCCUGGACGAGCAGAGCAGAAGCUUGCUACAUCAUCUUUUAUCAGAAGAGGAUUCAUGAUCCAUUUCAAGGUUGCUCUGGACAGAGCGAGCUUUAAUCCUCCUUGAUAAUCUUGUUGAGAAAGGUACCCCUGGAGAUGACCACUUCCAGUUAUCUUUUCUCCAUUGCUAAACUGGAUUGCUCAGGACAGGUAUUUUAUACCCACACACCAAAGAAACUUUUUGAAGUUUGGGGAGAUGCAUCACUGCGGACCCUCUCGUAUUGCUAAAAAAGAAGAGAGCCUUGGAUCUACCAGUUCAAGCAAACAUUUCA